CCUACGGGUGGCAGCAGUGAGGAAUAUUGGUCAAUGGACGAGAGUCUGAACCAGCCAAGUAGCAUGAAGGAUGACUGCCCAGUGGGUUGUAAACUUCUUUUAUAAAGGAAUAAAAGCAGGCACGUGUGCCUGUUUGAAUGUACUUUAUGAAUAAGGAUCGGCUAACUCCGUGCCAGCAGCCGCGGUAAUACGGAGGAUCCGAGCGUUAUCCGGAUUUAUUGGGUUUAAAGGGAGCGGAGAUGGGUUGUUAAGUCAGUUGUGAAAGUUUUCGGCUCAACCGUAAAAUUGCAGUUGAUACUGGCAGUCUUGAGUACAGUUGAGGUAGGCGGAAUUCGUGGUGUAGCGGUGAAAUGCUUAGAUAUCACGAAGAACCCCGAUUGCGAAGGCAGCUUACUGGACUGUGACUGACAUUGAUGCUCGAAAGUGUGGGUAUCAAACAGGAUUAGAUACCCGUGUAGUC
rnacentral:rRNA from 1 species